UAAAAAUUUGGAAAGAAAAAAAAAGAAAGAAAAUAGUAGAGAAGUAAAUAGUAUAAAUAUUUAAUUACAGAAUGAUUGAAAAAAUGUUCACUUAUUUGGCGCCAUAAGUCGCGUCUGGAUCGGCAUCUUGGCUGUAAAGAACAAAGGGUAGUUGGUAUGCUAAGGAAUUCUAGUUAAAAAAAAAAGUGAAACUUGUGACAAUGUUCAUAAUUUUGAACCAUAAAGCCAAUGUCCAGCGUUCAGUUUUUUGUGUAUUUCCUGUGAGAAAAAAAUUAUGAGUGAAUGUAGCAGAUAUGAGACAAAUUUUAAAUUACAAAUAAACGAAUUAAACAAUUAAAAAUAAUGGAGGAAAAAAAAUAUAAUAUAUAUAUAUACUUAAAUAUAAAGAAUUAAAUUUGUCUUGUGACCAGAACAUAGGGAGAGAAAAAUAUCAGAUGAAAAUAAAAACGUUAAUUUGAAUUUUACUAACAUAUAUACGAGCGUACGUAAAAUUUUCUAACCUUAUUGGAACAUUUUGAUGCGCGUGCUACGAACGACACUACACGUCUGAUCGAGGGGAAAGUAUCUACCAGAGCUACCAGAGUGCAUAUGAGGUACUGACAAAAGCUCCGACCACUGGAGGGGUACAAAGAACAAGUGUCCUCGGAGAGUUUCUAUUUUUAGAAUUUUAUUUCUUAGAAAGGUUUAAAUACAUGUAUAUAUAUAUAUAUAUUUAUAUGUGUGUACUUUAUAAAUUAAAUUAUAGAUUUCAUAAAUUUAAAAUUUUAUCAUAUACAGUUUUAAUUUAAAAUAUAUUAUUGCAGACGACACUUUAAAUUUAAAAAAUUUCCCGUAAAAAAAUCUU